CGUUAGCAGGGAGCUGCCGACAAGCCGUGUUCAGACCUGGAUAGAGAAGAGUAAACAAGGGAGAGAUUAUAUAUAAUUAUAGACAAUCAUGUUGCUGGGCAUAAACAGGAAUCAAAAGCACAGAGGCACUGAAGUUUGGCACAUCCCCAAGCCCAGAACAGAAGCCAGCCAGCAAGAGGCAGCGCGACUGGAAAGCUCUUCCCUUUGGGCCUGCUUUCAGUUAGCUCAGGGGCUGUUUUUUCGUCUUUUUUUGGCUUGAGGCAUUCCCCCAUAAAGAAAGAGUCUGUCUGAGGGAACAUGGGAGCCAAACUGAAGUCAGCAGAAUCCUUGUCUGUGACAUUAAUGGAUCGCUCUGUGAGAAAUGUCAGAAGCAUUUGGAAAAGUUACAGCGUGCUUAGACCCCGGAAAAGGAGAAAAAUACACCCAGGAAGAACACAGACACCUGAGCUCCCACUUCAAAGGUCUGGUCCUUCAAGGAGUUCUCCAGCCAAACCAGGGGAGGCCAAGCUCUCUAUUCCUGAUAAUUCAAAGAUCAUGAAAAAAACAAGCCAACAGAAUUUGAGAAUUUGGAUGCACACACAACAGAAGAAAAGCAAAAAGAGAAGGGAGCAAGAUCACUUAACCAUCCGAUUCCUGUGAGAAGAGUCAAAAUGUGCCCCUGGCUCAAGCUACCACUGUUGGUGUCAGUAAAGCGCUAAUCAAUAGAUGCUGAUGAUGGCACAGUGCGGAAUGCAGCGCUGU